AGCUUGCUCCUUGAUUCAGCGGCGGACGGGUGAGUAAUGCCUAGGAAUCUGCCUGGUAGUGGGGGACAACGUUUCGAAAGGAACGCUAAUACCGCAUACGUCCUACGGGAGAAAGCAGGGGACCUUCGGGCCUUGCGCUAUCAGAUGAGCCUAGGUCGGAUUAGCUAGUUGGUGGGGUAAUGGCUCACCAAGGCGACGAUCCGUAACUGGUCUGAGAGGAUGAUCAGUCACACUGGAACUGAGACACGGUCCAGACUCCUACGGGAGGCAGCAGUGGGGAAUAUUGGACAAUGGGCGAAAGCCUGAUCCAGCCAUGCCGCGUGUGUGAAGAAGGUCUUCGGAUUGUAAAGCACUUUAAGUUGGGAGGAAGGGCAGUAAGUUAAUACCUUGCUGUUUUGACGUUACCGACAGAAUAAGCACCGGCUAACUCUGUGCCAGCAGCCGCGGUAAUACAGAGGGUGCAAGCGUUAAUCGGAAUUACUGGGCGUAAAGCGCGCGUAGGUGGUUUGUUAAGUUGGA
rnacentral:rRNA from 1 species